rnacentral:rRNA from 1 species
UACAGAGGGGCGAGCGUUGUUCGGAAUUACUGGGCGUAAAGGGCGCGUAGGCGGCCUUCUAAGUCGAACGUGAAAUCCCCGGGCUCAACCCGGGAACUGCGUCCGAUACUGGGAGGCUUGAAUCCGGGAGAGGGAUGUGGAAUUCCAGGUGUAGCGGUGAAAUGCGUAGAUAUCUGGAGGAACACCGGUGGCGAAGGCGGCAUCCUGGACCGGUAUUGACGCUGAGGCG